AAGAAGAAGGAAGAUGAAGACAUCAGUCAUCGCGAGUCUGAUGUGUCUCGGUUGGAGGCUGGCGAAGAAGCUCCAGAAUGUUCUACCUCACACCAAGAUCUGAACCGCUUCCCAAACCAGUCUCAUGGUACAGCUGGGCAGCGAGGCUUCGGACGUCAUCAAUGUCACUCGUCUGAAACGCUACAAGCCUCGAUAGGCGCAUCGCGGAAACUCUUCCUGGAUUACUCGACACACGCUUCGAAGCAUCAGCACACCACACGCUGUCCUGAAGUCAUUUAAAGAGGGAACAGAUAAUGUCCGAAGACAUGCAGCUGAACACCUAAAACAUGCUACAGCAAGAAGAAGACGGGAGGCAACAUUAACUCUUCAUCCCUGGAGCCCCUGUGUCAAGGGGUGUUGGGUGUUUAUUGGUUGUUGUAUUUGUUAAAAACUUUGAAUAAUACACUUCAGUGUACA